UACGAAGGGGGCUAGCGUUGCUCGGAAUCACUGGGCGUAAAGGGUGCGUAGGUGGCGUCGUAAGUCGGGUGUGAAAUCUCGGGGCUUAACUCCGAAACUGCAUUCGAUACUGCGGUGCUUGAGGACUGGAGAGGAGACUGGAAUUUACGGUGUAGCAGUGAAAUGCGUAGAGAUCGUAAGGAAGACCAGUGGCGAAGGCGGGUCUCUGGACAGUUCCUGACACUGAGGCACGAAGGCCAGGGGAGCAAACAGG
rnacentral:rRNA from 1 species